rnacentral:rRNA from 1 species
GUAAGGAAUAUUGGUCAAUGGGGGCAACCCUGAACCAGCCAUGCCGCGUGAAGGAUGAAGGCGUUAUGCGUUGUAAACUUCUUUUGUAUGGGAAGAAUGACAGGGAUUCAUCCUUGGAGAGACGGUACCUUACGAAUAAGCACCGGCUAACUCCGUGCCAGCAGCCGCGGUAAUACGGAGGGUGCAAGCGUUAUCCGGAAUCACUGGUUUUAAAGGGUACGUAGGCGGUUAAUUAAGUCAGUAGUGAAAGACUGUCGCUCAAAGACGGAGGUGCUAUUGAUACUGGUUAACUUGAAUCAGGUUAGAGUUGGCGGAAUGGGUCAUGUAGCGGUGAAAUGCUUGGAUAUGACUUGGAACACCGAUAGCGAAAGCAGCUGACUGAGCCUUGAUUGACGCUGAGGUACGAAAGUGUGGGUAGCGAACAGGAUUAGAAACCCUGGUAGUCC